UACGGAGGGUGCGAGCGUUGUCCGGAAUCACUGGGCGUAAAGGGCGCGUAGGCGGCGCGGGAAGUCAUCGGUGAAAGUUCAGGGCUCAACUCUGAAUCGGCCGGUGAUACUCUCGUGCUUGAGCACUGUAGAGGCAGGUGGAAUUCCGGGUGUAGCGGUGGAAUGCGUAGAGAUCCGGAAGAACACCGGUGGCGAAGGCGGCUCACUGGACCCACAACUGACGCUGAGGCUCGAAGCAUGGGAGCAACAGGGAUUAAGAU
rnacentral:rRNA from 1 species